ensembl:snRNA U12 U12 minor spliceosomal RNA
AUGGCUUAAACUUAUGAGUAAGGAAAAUAACAAUUCAGGUGGAUACCCAAAUCCUUACUGCUAAUGUGAGAUGAAUUUUUGAGUAGGUAAAGGUUGCCCCUAAGAUGACCCACCUACUUUGUGGGAUGCCUGGGAGUCGUGAUCUGCCUG